rnacentral:tRNA from 1 species
UGCAAUGUAGUUUACUUAAAAUUCUUAUUUUACACGUAAGGGAAUCCUUAAAGGACUUUGUAA